GUCUAUGUUCCUUGGAACAGGACGUCACAGAGGGUGAGAAUCCCGUGCGAUGAGAUGCCCAAUUCUAUGUAAAGUGCUUUCGAAGAGUCGAGUUGUUUGGGAAUGCAGCUCUAAGUGGGUGGUAAAUUCCAUCUAAAGCUAAAUAUUGGCGAGAGACCGAUAGCGAACAAGUACAGUGAUGGAAAGAUGAAAAGAACUUUGAAAAGAGAGUGAAAAAGUACGUGAAAUUGUUGAAAGGGAAGGGCUUGAGAUCAGACUUGGUAUUUUGCGAUCCUUUCCUUCUUGGUUGGGUUCCUCGCAGCUUACUGGGCCAGCAUCGGUUUGGAUGGUAGGAUAAUGACUAAGGAAUGUGGCUCUACUUCGGUGGAGGUUUAUAGCCCUUGGUUGAUA
rnacentral:rRNA from 1 species